UACCCAAUAAUUGUCCCUCUAAAGGUGCAUUUACACUGAAUUUAGACCGGGGACGCGGUCUAAAUUUUGCAUCAGAUCCGAUGUUAAGUUGAAUGUUGUUAAGUUGAAUGAUGUUAAGUUGAAAGUUAACAGUGAAUAGAAAAGUUCACUCCCCUUUCAUAACCUUGUUUUGUACUCUAUUUAACCCCUGGCUAUUUAUAUAUGGGUGUAUCUCAUUUCCUUCUCGUUUCACUUCACAAAUUUCUAUUCAUUUUGGGAAGUGGUGUGUCUGAAUUGUGUAGAAGUUGUGUUAAGUACAGUAUUAUAAGUUAUGUAGGGUCUAGAGUAUGUCUACUGAAGUUUUUAGCAUGAUCAACCACACCAAAAUUUACUUGGAAAAUGUUUGAUUUUGAAAAAGUUUGUCAGUGUAAAUUUUUGAGAUUUACAGAAGUAAAUUACUGGCCUCUCUCAUGGGCCUGUAUUUGAAUAGCUUAUAAUUUUUCAGAAUGUUCACAUAAAUGAGUCUCCUCUCAGUGCACUCGGAAAGUUGAAAGUAAUCACUUGUUAUGGAAUUACCAGGAGAUAUGCAACAAGCGCUACAGUUUUCAAUCCUUAUGUUGCCUACUGGUUUGAUUAAAUCUGGAUAUUAUCCGGAACUAACUUUAAUCUAAGUAUAGAACUAAAAGUUAGUUCUGGGUUAAUGCAGUCCAUGAAACAUGUUGACAACUUAAACACCUUUGAUGCAGCUUCCACCAAACCUCAGUGGCCAACUUGAAGACAUUCAAGCAAAGAAGCUGAUACAACAGCUAAAAGUCGACACGAAUAACAAGGUAUCUUGUGAUGCUAGUAGUGUGAUGGAGAGGUGGACUGCUAUAGCCAGUGCAAGGCCUAUCGCUGGAACUGACCAAUACAUCAUCUACAAGUGGAUACAGUACUUGGUCGUUCAUCAGAAUAAAAACAACAAACUAUGAAGAUUCAAGAUUCAUUUGUUUUUGCAGCAAUCAAUGUGCCUAUGACUGAAAAACAUUUUAUUUACCAGGACAUUCUCGUCUGGGUGCGGAAGUGCAGGAGGCCGUUACAAGUCAAAGGAGACUUAGGACCCCUGUAUUUUGAAGCAUCCUACACAUAUUCAAUUGUGUAGCAAACUAUCUUAUCUCAGUUUUGCUUAUUAAUAAUUGUGUACAACUAUAUAGAUCUUGUAUUCAAAUGGCAUCAAUAUUUACCAUGAAAAUAAGCUAAUAACUUUGUGGUGUUCACUGAUCCUUGAUCAAUAGGACACAUCCAAUAUGGAUUAAAUGCUAUAUUUGUUGAUCCAUUUGACUACUUAAGGCCUACUUCAUGAUUCAGGAUAAUCUAAAAUUGAGAUUGAUUUCCUUUAGUGAUAUUCAAUUUUAUUACAAGACUGUGCUGGGGCGGAUGCAGACGGUGUAAUCGCACUCUUUAAAUUCUAAUGUGUAUUCAAGAAAAAUAACUGUUGUUGGUAACUGUUAAUAUUUUUAUCAUUAAGAAGAGAGGACCAGCAAGAUUUUUAAGUAUGAGAGUGCAGCUUGAGGUCCAUAUUCUCAAAAUUUUAUCUCACUCCUGCCAAAUCCUGCAUCCACCCAAUGGCGUAUCUAGGGGGGGUGCGCAGGAACGCACGCCCCUCCAAAAAUUACUCGCAUCCCCCCAUCUGCCCACCCAGAAAUCACAGUCAAGUACAGUAGUUAAAAAUCACAUAAAAUCACCUUAUUUUGCGAAUUAGCGCCCCUUAACUAAUCAUCGAGCUCAUCCACCCACUUCACUUUUGUGUCCCCACCCAUUAGCACUCCCAUUUCAAGACUUCUAGAUACGCCAAUGCAUCCGCCCCAGCUGUCUUUUAAUGCAUUGAUGCUAUACACAUUAAUGUAAAUGUUACAAAGACCUACCUAAUGACUUCACUUCCAACUCAUUCAUUCUUGGUUGCCAGUAUAACAACAUGAACCUUGAUAUGUUAUAUGUUCAACUAGAAAUAAAAGUUCAAAACACAGUAAGCCUGUUUUACAAAAAUCAUUUUAUUAUCAUGUUAUUUUAUAAUUUCCAAAAAAAUUGUUAUGGUUGGUGUUACAUUAUAUAUUACAGAAAUUCAACUAAGAAAUUAGUCUCAGAACAUUAAAAACUACAUCAGUAGCAUGCAUUUAAAAAUCUAAUUAAACUACAUUAUUUUAUCAAUUAUAAAAAUUAUUCUAUUCUUAUUAUUCCGAUAGCACCAAAAAUUAACGUAAACAUAAAACAUAAUAUACAAUAUAAAUAACCUUUUACAAUUUAAGUAUGUCGGUAAUAAGAAAAAUAUCACCAAUAAUAAAAAUAGUAUUUGUAAGAACACAACAACAAUCAAUAACAAUUUUUGUGAAAAGCUCUGUCACACGCUAUCAUAUAUUUUUAGUGACAAUACCUGUACCUGCCCAUAUAUGGAAGUUACAUGACAUCAUCAUGCCAAUAUAUGGACAAAUUAAAUGCACAUUUGUUACAUAAACUUGAUAGUGUGGGCAGGACUUGGUGGCAAGUCACACACUUUUGGAUGUGAACAACACGUUUUAAAUUCUGUAAAAACUCAAAUAGAAGCCCUAUGGGGUUAUCUCAAGAAGAAGCACAUCUCGAAAAGGAGCCCCACCCCACCCCCUCUUUAGUUUGCAAGAGUAAUCUCUAAAAGAAGCCCAUCUCGAAAAGAAGCAUAUAGGCUUCUAAUCAAGAUACUAUGGGCUUCUUUCGAGACUACAUUCAGACUGACAUUAUAUUUGAAGAUUAUGAUAGCGUAAUCUGUAUCAAAAUAUUUUAUUGCAAAAAGUUAAAAAUAAAAAAAUAUUAAACAGAAUCUUGAAAAGCAGCCCAUCUCAAAAAGAGGCGGAUCCAAUGGUCCUAAAAAGAAGGAUGAAUCCCAGGACUUCUUUUCGAGAUUUUACAGAUAUUAUAAUAAAAUAAAAAUAUCAAUUGACCAAGUAUUGUAAUAAUGCCAGUUUCAAAAUCAUUAAAAAUAUUAAUGAAUAUAAUUUUAAUAGUAACAAAAACAUGUACAAUAUUAAUAAUAACUAUUAGAGGAAAUCCAUUUUUAUAAUUAUUUUUACAAGAGUA